AACGAACGCUGGCGGCGUGCCUAACACAUGCAAGUCGUGCGAGAAAAGUUCCUUCGGGAGCGAGUAAAGCGGCGCACGGGUGAGUAACACGUAGGUAACCUGCCCCCCAGUCUGGAACAACUAGAGGAAACUCUAGCUAAUGCCGGAUGAGACCACGAUCCCUUCGGGGGGUUGCGGCCAAAAGAUGGCCUCUACUUGUAAGCUAUCGCUGAGGGAUGGGCCUGCGGGCCAUUAGCUUGUUGGUGAGGUAACGGCUCACCAAGGCUGUGAUGGCUAGCUGGUCUGAGAGGAUGACCAGCCACACUGGGACUGAGACACGGCCCAGACUCCUACGGGAGGCAGCAGUGGGGAAUAUUGCGCAAUGGGCGAAAGCCUGACGCAGCGACGCCGCGUGGGUGAUGAAGGCC
rnacentral:rRNA from 1 species